rnacentral:rRNA from 1 species
CGAGACACUCAGGUUCAGGGCGGGGCUACCCCGCUGAAUUUAAGCA